GACGAACGCUGGCGGCGUGCUUAACACAUGCAAGUCGAACGGAAAGGCCCUGCUUUUGUGGGGUGCUCGAGUGGCGAACGGGUGAGUAACACGUGAGUAACCUGCCCUUGACUUUGGGAUAACUUCAGGAAACUGGGGCUAAUACCGGAUAGGAGCUCCUGCUGCAUGGUGGGGGUUGGAAAGUUUCGGCGGUCGGGGAUGGACUCGCGGCUUAUCAGCUUGUUGGUGGGGUAGUGGCUUACCAAGGCUUUGACGGGUAGCCGGCCUGAGAGGGUGACCGGCCACAUUGGGACUGAGAUACGGCCCAGACUCCUACGGGAGGCAGCAGUGGGGAAGAUUGCACAAUGGGCGGAAGCCUGAUGCAGCAACGCCGCGUGCGGGAUGACGGCCUUCGGGUUGUAAACCGCUUUCGCCUGUGACGAAGCGUGAGUGACGGUAAUGGGUAAAGAAGCACCGGCUAACUACGUG
rnacentral:rRNA from 1 species